CAAAGAUUAAGCCAUGCAUGUCUAAGUAUAAGCAAUUUAUACUGCGAAACUGCGAAUGGCUCAUUAAAUCAGUUAUUAUGUACAUGCAUUAUACCUUACUACUGGAUAACCGUGGUAAUUCUAGAGCUAAUACAUACACUAAAAUCUUGGCUUCGGCCCGGAUGUAUUUAUUAGUUACAAAACCAAUACAGGGUUAAACCUGUUUUUUGGUGAAUCAUAAUAAUUCUUGCUUGGACGGAUCGCGUAUAGCGACGUUGCAUAUCAUUUUCUGCCCUAUCACCGCUUUGGAUUGUACGGUAGUGGCGUACGAAUGGUUAUAACGGGUAACGGGGAAUAAGGGUUCGAUUCCGGAGAGGGAGCCUGAGAAACGGCUACCACAUCCAAGGAAGGCAGCAGGCGCGCAAAUUACCCAAUUCCGACACGGAGAGGUAGUGACAAUAAAUAACAAUGCAGGGCCUUAUGGUCUUGCAAUUGGGAUGAGUACAAUUUAAAUCCCAUAACGAGGAUCCAUUGGAGGGCAAGUCUGGUGCCAGCAGCCGCGGUAAUUCCAGCUCCAAUAGCGUAUAUCAAAGUUGCUGCAGUUAAAACGUCCGUAGUCGAAGUUUAGUCUUGGAUGCUGUGCUAUAGGCUUCAUUGUCUAUGGUUUCAGUUAUCUAGACUCGUUAGUUCUGCUUCUUUCUACCUCGGUAGUUGGAUCAGACCAUACCCAUGAGCAAAUCAGAGUGUUUAAAGCAGGCUUUAUGCCGGAAUGUUGGAGCAUGGAAUAAUGAAAUAUGACAUUGUUGGUCUAUAUUUCGUUGGUGUGAGACCAAUAUGUAAUGAUGAAGAGAAACGGUUGGGGCCAUUUGGAUUUGGUCGCUAGAGGUGAAAUUCUUGGAUUGACCAAAGACAAACAUAGGCGAAAGCAAUUGACCCAGGACGUUUUCAUUGAUCAAGGUCGAAAGUUAAGGGAUCGAAGACGAUUAGAUACCGUCGUAGUCUUAUACCACAAACGUUGCCGACUAGUGAUCAGACAUGACCGAUUGAGGCGUGUUUGGGAACUAAGCGAAAGUAAAGUUUUUGGGCUCUGGGGGGAGUAUUGUCGCAAGGCUGAAACUUAAAGGAAUUGACGGAAGGGCACCACCAGGAGUGGAGCCUGCGGCUUAAUUUGACUCAACACGGGGAAACUUACCAGGUCCAGACAUAAGAAGGAUUGACAGAUUGAAAGCUCUUUCAAGAUUUUAUGGGUGGUGGUGCAUGGCCGUUCUUAGUUCGUGGAGUGAUUUGUCUGGUUAAUUCCGAUAACGAACGAGACCUUGAUUUGCUAAUUAGCCAAGCAAACAUUUAGUUUGUACCUUUUUGGCUUCUUAGAGAAACUAUUGACUUCAAGUCAAAGGAAGUUUGAGGCAAUAACAGGUCUGUGAUGCCCUUAGAUGUUCUGGGCUGCACGCGCGCUACACUGAUAAAGUCAGCGAGUAUAUAACCUUGGCAGAAAUGCCUGGGUAAUCUUAUGAAACUUUAUCGUGCUGGGGAUAGAGCAAUGCAAUUUCGCUCUUGAACGAGGAAUUCCUAGUAAGCGUCAGUCAACAACUGGCGUGGAUUACGUCCCUGCCCUUUGUACACACCGCCCGUCGCUACUACCGAUUGAAUGGCCAUAAUGAGCAUAUGGGAGCAUAGAGAAUAGUGUUGGCAACAACACACUCUUUGUGCGAACUAUGGCAAAUUACGCUAUUUAGAGGAAGUAAAAGUCGUAACAAGGUUUCCGUAGGUGAACCUGCGGAAGGAUCAUUA
rnacentral:rRNA from 1 species